ACCUUAACCGCCUCAGGUGCCACUCUCGGAACUGGUGUGUUCAGAGCGGCCGCUCCCAGGGCCCCUCUGGAGGCCUGAGUGCGCUGCUGAGUGCUAAGGAGUCGCAGCUAUCCAGCGAGCUUCUGGGGAAAUGUAGGGGUGAAGCGGGUGGCGACAGGUGCUAGCAGGCAGAAGCCAGUGGGCGCCUCAAAGGCCGAAGAGCGAACUUACAAGCGGACUUGGGGAAGUCGCUUCCAAGUCUCCCGGGGCGCGCAGCAGGCACCCCGCGGCUCCGAGCAGAGGCUCUGGGACUGUGGCUGCGACCUCCAGCGCAGCGUGCAACUGAGCUCCGGGCCGGAGGAGCAGCGCUUCCCGGGGGCAGCUCCCUUCCCCUAACCGGGUAUCUCUGCGGCCGGAGGUGCCCCUGGCAGGCGAAGAGACUGAGGCGACGAGUGAUGAUAUUGAAGAAAAAAACUGAAAGUGGAUUAACUCUAUUUGAAAGGGGUCAACCGUUAAUUGCACAAGAAAAAGAAAAAGAGUAG
rnacentral:lncRNA from 1 species